rnacentral:rRNA from 1 species
UACAGAGGUCCCAAGCGUUGUUCGGAUUCGUUGGGCGUAAAGGGUGCGUAGGUGGCGCCGUAAGUGGGGUGUGAAAUUUCGGAGCUUAACUCCGAAACUGCAUUCCAUACUGCGGUGCUUGAGGACUGGAGAGGAGACUGGAAUUUACGGUGUAGCAGUGAAAUGCGUAGAGAUCGUAAGGAAGACCAGUGGCGAAGGCGGGUCUCUGGACAGUUCCUGACGCUGAGGCACGAAGGCCAGGGGAGCAAACGGG